GCCUGGCUUGCCUGUAGUUACGGCUGCUGAGAGGCUGAGGCAAGAAGAUCGUUUGAGCCCAGGAGUUCUGGACUGUGGUGAGCUAUGCUGAUUGGAUGUUGCACUAAGCUUGGCAUUGAUAUGGUGACCUCCAGGGAGUGACUGGGGGACUACCAGGUUGCCUAAGGAGGAGUGAACUGGCCCAGGUUGGAAAUAAAGCAGGUCAAAACUCUCGUGCUGAACAGUAGCAGGAUUGCACUUGUGAAUAGCCACUGCACUGCAGCAACGUAGUGAUACCCUGUCU
rnacentral:SRP_RNA from 10 species